CUACGUAGGGGGCAAGCGUUGUCCGGAAUUACUGGGCGUAAAGGGUGCGCAGGCGGCUUGGUUAGUCAGAAGUGAAAGUUUGCAGCUUAACUGUAAAAGUGCUUUUGAUACUGCCUGGCUUGAGUCUCGGAGGGGUAAGCGGAAUUCCUAGUGUAGCGGUAAAAUGCGUAGAGAUUAGGAAGAACACCGGCGGCGAAGGCGGCUUACUGGACGAGUACUGACGCUCAUGCACGAAAGCGUGGGAAGCAAACAGGAUUAGAUACCCUGGUAUGCCACGCCGUAAACGAUGAAUACUAGCUGUUGGGGCAACUCAGUAGCGCAGUUAACACAUUAAGUAUUCCGCCUGGGGAGUACGCACGCAAGUGUAAAACUCAAAUGAAUUGACGGGG
rnacentral:rRNA from 1 species